CUAAGAUGUUUCUGAAAGCAGGCAAUUACUGGAUUUGCUGCUUUGCUGCUAUGGAAGACUGACACUGAUAUUAAUGCUGUGAUCUGAAAUGAAUGAGUCGUGCCUUGAUAUGAAUUCAUUCAAAGUGCUGAAAUUCUUUUGAUGAGAAAUAGAGUUUGCUCUUCAUUAUAUAGAUAUAAGACAUACUAGUGGCAUACUUUUUUAGGACAUUACAUGUUAUUUGUUGCCU